rnacentral:rRNA from 1 species
AGAGUUUGAUCCUGGCUCAGGAUGAACGCUGGCGGCGUGCCUAAUACAUGCAAGUCGAACGAAGAGAGAAGCUUGCUUCUCUUUUAGUGGCGAACGGGUGAGUAGGCGAACGGGUGAGUAAUACAUAAGCAACCUACCCAUUCGACCGGGAUAACAGUUGGAAACGACUGCUAAUACCGGAUAGGUGACCGGGGGACAUCCCCUGAUCAUUAAAGCUGGGACACAGCACGAAUGGAUGGGAUUGCGUCUCAUUAGUUAGUUGGCGGGGUAACGGCCCACCAAGACGAUGAUGCGUAGCCGACCUGAGAGGGUGACCGGCCACACUGGGACUGAGACACGGCCCAGACUCCUACGGGAGGCAGCAGUAGGGAAUUUUCGGCAAUGGGCGCAAGCCUGACCGAGCAACGCCGCGUGAGUGAAGAAGGCCUUCGGGUUGUAAAGCUCUGUCAGUGAAUGCUCUUGGAGUGACGGUACCUUACCAGAAAGCCACGGCUAACUACGUGCCAGCAGCCGCGGUAAUACGUAGGUGGCAAGCGUUAUCCGGAAUUAUUGGGCGUAAAGGGAGCGUAGGCGGUUUGAUAAGUCUGAGGUGAAAGUUCGGGGCUUAACCUUGGGAGUGCAUUUGAAACUGUCAGACUAGAGUGCAGGAGAGGGCAAUGGAAUUCCAUGUGUAGCGGUAAAAUGCGUAGAUAUAUGGAGGAACACCAGUGGCGAAGGCGGUUGCCUGGCCUGUAACUGACGCUGAGGCUCGAAAGCGUGGGGAGCAAAUAGGAUUAGAUACCCUAGUAGUCCACGCUGUAAACGAUGAUUACUAAGUGUAGGGGGUAUCGACUCCCUCCGUGCCGCAGCUAACGCAAUAAGUAUCCCGCCUGGGGAGUACGGCCGCAAGGCUGAAACUCAAAGGAAUUGACGGGGACCCGCACAAGCAGCGGAGCAUGUGGUUUAAUUCGAAGCAACGCGAAGAACCUUACCAAGGCUUGACAUCCCUUGACCGCUAUGGAAACAUAGCUUCCCUUCGGGGCAAGGAGACAGGUGGUGCAUGGUUGUCGUCAGCUCGUGUCGUGAGAUGUUGGGUUAAGUCCCGCAACGAGCGCAACCCUUGUCAUUAGUUGCCAGCAUUAAGGUGGGCACUCUAACGAGACUGCCGGUGAUAAACCGGAGGAAGGUGGGGAUGACGUCAAAUCAUCAUGCCCCUUAUGUCCUGGGCUACACACGUGCUACAAUGGCCAGUACAGACGGAGGCGAAGCCGCGAGGUGGAGCAAACCCGAGAAAGCUGGUCUCAGUUCGGAUUGCAGGCUGCAACUCGCCUGCAUGAAGUCGGAAUCGCUAGUAAUCGCAGGUCAGCAUACUGCGGUGAAUACGUUCCCGGGCCUUGUACACACCGCCCGUCACACCACGAAAGUCUGCAACACCCGAAGCCGGUGAGGUAACCCGAAAGGGAGCUAGCCGUCGAAGGUGGGGCCGAUAAUUGGGGUGAAGUCGUAACAAGGUAACC